UUGCUUGCACCAACCUAGUUGUGCAUAUGUCCACACUUAAAUUUGUCGCCCACCAGUGUAAGAUCUUCAUUACUCCAACAUAGUAACACCUUCUGCCCAAGCGUUGUUGAGCCACAGUCGGUGUAUUGAGGUUGGCACAGUGCAAAUGUAGACACUGCAUUGGCUAUGUUGACCCUAACAGUCUUUCAGCAGCUGUCCUGCAAUGCCCAGCACUGACAGUUCUGGUCUUGAUUGUGAACUCCAUUGCCUGGGGCUCACAGAGACUGGAAGCCAUACCCCUCCUUUAAAACCCUGUGAAUUUUUGAUAUGCUGUUUCCUGAUUGUCCAUUGUGGCGAGCACUCCUAGCAGCUCUCCACUGUUGUGUGCAACUGCCCAGCUGACAAUGCUGGCUACAUGCUCCAGGUGUAUUCUGGCCUGGAGUAGACAGGAGUUUUUGGAUCUCCUGGGCCUGUGGGGAAAAGAAGUUGUAUAGGCACAGCUAUGGACCAACCAUAGAAAUAUGACCAUCUAUGAGCAGAUUGCCCGGGGGAUGCAGAAGAAGGAUUACAAUGUGGACCAGCAGCAGUGCUGUGUGAAAGCAAAGGAACUGCAGCCGGCAUAUCAGAAGGCCAGGGAGGCCAACAGUUGAUCUAGUGCUGAGCUGCAGCCCUUCCACUUUUACAAAGAGUUGCAUGCCAGGCUUGGUGGAGACCUUCCCCCACCGCUACCCCACACAGACCUCUGUGGAUACCUCUGAAGAGCCUGAGUCACUGGGCCUUGGUGUGAACAGCAAGGAUGAGAGGGAGGAGGUGAAGGAGGAAUAGGAGAAGGAUGAGGGACAUGUGACAGAGGGGGUCUAGCUAGCCAGGACCUGUUUGAGACUCCAACACAGUCCAGUCAAUCCCAGCAGUUGAGCACCACAAAACUGAUUGAGGGGAAGGAACCUCAGCUGCUGCUGUCGUAGUCUUGAGGAGUUCCCCCUCCACACCCACAGAAUGCCUGAGCUAGAUAAGGAUGAAAAAGAAGAAGCUCAGAAUGACAUGUUCAGUCAGAUCCUGCAAGGCAGUGCUGCAUUAGACCAUGAAUAGAGGGCCUGAAGAAUGGCUGUAUAGAGAAGGAAAAAGCAGCAGACAGGAGAAAGGACCAAGAAUCCCAGCAGAAAAAGGAGAGAGAGGGACAUAAUGGCGCUCCUUUGCCAGCAAACCUACAGAUUCAACAAUCCUGGGCUCCUCUCCCUCUGCAUUCCAUGGAGAAUUCCAUUACAGCAGCUCCCUACACACACAUACACCAACUGUGGUUCUCAUAGAAAUUGCGACACAGCAUGAUGCAGUGGGAAGCCAUAACGAGUGGAAUAUCUUUGUCACUGAGAUCCAGUCUUGCAGAGGAAAGCUGAAAGUCUGUCCUCCACAGCACCUCAAAACCUGAAUUCACCUCAUCUUCUUCCCCAUGCUUACAUCUGCCUCAGGCACAUAGCGCUAUUCAGUCCCAGAUAUGCCAGCCUCUAUUGGCAUAACCUAGGGCUGCCGGAUGCCUAGGGCAUGGAGAAUGGAUGAGUCACAGUGUUGCAAAAAACGCACCAAAUUCCCGCUCUGUGGGGACCUGGAGCUGGCUGGAGUCAGUGUUUUACAAGAGUGAGAGAGACCUUGAAACAACUGAUUUCCUUUAGCUUCCACCAUUGACUCUUAUGGAGCCCUGACUAAAUUAAAGUUAACACCCCAUUGUGGAACUUUAUUUCCACCUAAUUGUGGAACCCACAGGGGAUGCAGGCAGUGCAAACAUCUCUCUCCUUCACUCCCACCUGCUGGGGGUUCAUCUUCCCUCAGACAUAACUGCCCUUGUUGGAAAACAGGGCUGCAGUUUGUACCACCUGUACUGAAGGAAGGGAGAAGGUAUAGGCAGGCUCUGAAUUUAUCUCAUGGAAUAUAGCUAUACCUACAUAACAAUAUUGGUAUAGCUACUAAAACUUUCCUCAGUAGACAAGGGAUUCAGCAAAACACUUAUACAUGUACUUUUAAUGGGAAUGCUCAUAUGCUUAAAUGCUUAAGUGGCUGUAUACUGAUAGAGACCUACUCACAUGCCUAGAGCUAAGCAAGUGCUAAAGUGCUGUGCUGAACCCAGGCCUGAAAAAAGUGUGAAUUGCCCUAUUCAUCUCAAGGGAACUUAAACUCUGAAGCCUAGUAAUCUAAUGAUGACAAUUUUCAUGUCAAUGUUGACAAUUAUUGCACUGUUGAUGAUCUUAACAGGAACAUCUUGUCAAUAACUGCAUAUUCUGUUCACUUGAAAGACAUAAAUAACAAGAGUGUACACAGAAUACGUUAUCAGACCAAAUACUAUAACCUCUUUGUACUAAAAGGAAAAACGUUCCUCACAAACACAGAAAUACAUUAGUUUAUUAAGGUUAAUAUCUGUCUUCUCUGCUGCUACGUCAUGUUGUAUAGAAAGCUACACUAUGCAACAUGCCAUGCACCAUGAGAGUCCAGUAUUGUUUAGCUCAUGUGCUGGCACUAUAUACAACAGUUUUACCCUUACUUUUAAGGACAGUAAGAAGCGUCUCAAAUAUUUAUAUAAGCCACCGAAUUCUGACACUUUGUUUAUUCAAAAUGUACAGCUUUAUUCCUAUAGACCAUCCUUUCAAGUGAAUCGCAUGUCAGAAUGUGACAGCUAUGUACAUAUACUAGAUAUGCGCAUGAUGUUUGUGGAAUGCUGGUCAGAAGUGAAAAGGCUAAUAACCUGGAUGACUCUUAAAUGACUGUAACUAGGCUUUAAAGUUAAAAGUCCAAUCAGAUAAAAAGUGGGCUGGUCACAUUACUCUUGAUGCUAUUGUUCACUAUCUCUCAGACUCAAAAGCCUUGUUACACUAGAAAAUUGCACCAUUCAAACUUGCACCUGUUUCCAGUCUUCCAACUCCACAAACAGCCUGUUUGUGCUCUCCUUAGUUGCCACUUUCUCAUGCCAAAAUGCCCUUGCCAAAAUGCACACCACAUCAUUUCAUGCCCUGUAUCAACUUCCUGUCUCAAAUUAAGAACAGAAAUAGGUUACAUUAAUGUCAGCAUUUGGCACAGAUCAUUGCUCAAAGUAUCAUCUAUAUGUGGCAUAGGGUUGCCAACUUUCUAACCGAACAAAACCGAACAGCCUUGCCCCGCCCCUUCUCUGAGGCCCUGCCCUGUUCAUUCCAUCCCUCCUCCCCCUCCAUUGCUUACUCUCCCACACCCUCACUCGGUCACCCAUUUUCAACGGGCUGGGGAGUGUUCCUUUUUGACCGGGUGUUCCGGCUGAAACCCGGUCAGACACCCCCGGGAGAGAACAGAAAUUGUCAGAUCUUUUAUAAAAGCUUGUUGUGUUCUGAACUUGAUGAUCAUUAUGAUAUACGCAUAGAGACCAGGAGUAAGAAUUUAUGUAUUUGUGUAUAUAGAACACUGUGUUCAUAAACUUCAGCUCCACCUUGCAGCAGGGCAGUGAGCAGGCAGGCGGGGUCGGGUAUCUCCCAAGCCAGUUGUUUACACAAAACCAGCUUCAAGUAACUAUGCAGUGUCCAGUCCAGGAAAAGAUAAGGUUGGACUAUUAAAAUUAAUGGAAAGACAUUGAGACAUUUCAAAAGUGAAAAGAACAUUUCCCCAUCUCAGAAGUCAGGAGAUAAUUCCCCCACUCUGAUUAACCAUGAGUCAUCAUGGACCGGCAGAAAAAUAAAAGGAAAAAGACUUUUAAAAGAAGACUUCACAAAAAGAAAAGGAGUACUUGUGGCACCUUAGAGACUAAAAAAUUUAUUUGAGCAUAAGCUUUCGUGAGCUACAGCUCAAAGACUUGGAACUGAGGUUUUUAUUCAGAACUGGAGGGACAAUCUUGAGACAGGAAGCUAUCUGUGAAUGCUGGAUCCCUCCUAUAGCUAGGAAGUAAACUGAGAAAUUGUUUUAAGACAAUAGGCAACCUGUAUUAGAAAAGGGAUUUUAUCGAAGGCCUGGUCUAGCUCAACCCAGCUGUAUGUCUCAGGGGUGUGAAAAAUCCACACUCCUGAGCAACAUAGUUAAGCCAACGUGAACCCUGGUGUAGACAGAAUAAUUCUCCCAUUGGCCUAGCUACCAGCUCUCGGGGAGGUGGAGUACCCACGCUAUGGGAGAACCCCUCCUAUUGGUGAGGUAGCGUCUACACUGAAGCACUACAGCGGUGCAGCUGCAACACUGCAGCAGUGCCUCUGUAGCAUUUCCAAUGCAGACAAGCCCUAAUAUGAAAGUGUAAAGCCUGAGGUUGUCUCUGUAUGUUUAGUUUCUGUGUAACUCGUAUACAUUCACUCUCCCUUACUAUUUCAUCUUUGAAUCUGUGUUUUUUCUGUUCAGUAAACUUUUUGUUUAUUUUCAUCCCAAGCAGGUCCCUGGUGUGCAAAGUGUGUGGAUUGUGUGCUCCAAACUGAACUAUUGGUUUCCUAUCGACUGCAUCUCCCUCUAGGAUCCAGAGAUAGGAGUCUCUGGGCCUGGGUCUGGAGAGAGGGAGGACCUAAUACAAUGGGGCUUCAAGGGAUAUAUCAGUCCUUGGGAGAACUGAGGCAAUGAGUAGGUGCUGUAGCUGCAUGGAGAGGACACGAUCUGCCUCCUGAGGAACAAUUCCUCGUUGAAAAGAGUGGUCACCCAAGCAUGUCUGGCAUAGUGAAGACUCAAGUUCUGGCUCCCCUUGAGUUAAAAAGGAUCUUUUACAAACUGAGAGAAAAAUGGAAGGGGCGGACUCUGGUCCUGAACGAGUGAAGUCGAUGGGAGCUUUGUCAGGAUUGAGCCUGGAGCUGGCCUGCCUGCUGUACUGAAACAGCAGUAGGAGACGGUGACUGCUCACAAAAUGGAGAUGGGAUGCAGAAGGAAGCUACUUCAGGACAGGCUUUGCCAGUAAAAAGCUGAGAACCUAAGAGGAACAGAAGAAAUAAGGGAGGUUAUAAUAAACUCUCAGCUAAAAGCCUGAGCAAACUGUCAGGCAGUUCAUGUGUCCUGAAGGUCAACAGACUCAGGCUCUGUCAAACCAGGGGAAGAAGAGAAUUUGGGACUCAAGAGACCUCUGCUGAACAUGCCUACCCCGAGACAUUCUACUCCAAGGUCUGUAUCAGAUGCUUCCAUGUUAUGUUCACUGACACCCCAUGAGAAAUGGCUGUGAUCUGGAUGGACUACAAGCAGGAAGUAUUAAAAACCUCUUGAUAAGCUGGUUGAUGGUGUGUAAGAAGUCUAUAAAAAAAAGGGUACUUCUUGAUUCAUCAGGAGCCAAAGCAUGAAGUCCUUUCCCAAUAUCUACUCAUUCCUUACCCAGACAUUGAUGCAAAUUUGCCUGAAUAAGGACUGAGUAAGAACUUCAGCAUCUGGAUGCACAAAGCUGUAAAGAUUUCUACACAACCCUGUACCAAUUAAAUAAAAUAGGGCAAAUGGUUCAGGCAGGAAUCAGAAUCUAUCCAAAUCAACAAUGUUUAAGGAGCUAAAUGCUAUGAAUUGCUUUUCAGGAUAGGCAAUAUGGCCUACUUUAUUUUUUGCAGAAAGUUGUGUAAAUCUCUGGUACUAUGUAGGUUUAAGAACAAGUAGUAAUGACAGUUAACAAUAAUAAAUGUUUGCAUUGUGUCACAAACAUCAUAUAUGGUACUGUGGAGUUGAGUCACCUGCUUCACAGUAGCUGUCCCAGAAAAAUCCCAUAUUCUAGAAGCCCAGGUCUGGAGCAUGAAAAAUAGGAGAGGGACAACAAUUUCCCAGCAGUAGUCCAGAAGAGCUUGUCAUUGGGACACAGGCUGGAGUUUGUGUCAAUAAAACCAUACGGACACUAAUUGAAUCUCAGCUUCUCUGGGUUUACUCACAUAUAGUAAUAAGCUGCAAUUUAUUAUGACUAAAUGCCAUUAAUACCCUAUCUAAAUGAAAAAUUAUAAUUAAUUCAUUAAUAGGAACAUAGUGUGAUGGUGCACCCCAUAAGGCUUUAUGGAAAUAUGCUUAUGAAUGUAUAUAUGACAUAACUGGAAUAUGUUUUAUGCUACAUAUGCCAUGUAACAUGAUCUAUUGAAUAUAUUCAUCCUAUUUGUAUGCAUGUGUCGUUGUAUUCGAAGUCAUGAAAUUGGCUGUAUACUUGUUUGAUUUUAAAUAACCUUAGUAAGGCAUUUGGUCAGCUUCUUUAGAAAGGUUUCAGAGUAGCAGCCGUGUUAGUCUGU